rnacentral:lncRNA from 1 species
GACACAUAGGAGUGAGUAGAUCCCGGAUCAAUCAACGCAAGUGCAUCAAAUGAACAGACAGAUAGAAUACAUGUAACCACUGCAUUCGAGGCCUGAGCAUCCUGUCUAGUAAAUGCAAAAACUCUCUCCUGACCUCUACCAGCAUUGCCUUGUCCUUAAUUCACAGUAGCACGAUCUCCAGCACCUCUACCUCUAUUUCAUGUACCUGUAGCACCUGAAGUAUUACGAGUAGUUUGAGUCGGUGCA